UGGUGACGAUAGCAGAGAGGAUCCACCUGUUCCCAUUCCGAACACAGAAGUUAAGCUCUCUUACGCCCAAAGUACUUGGUCUAACGACCCGGGAGGAUAGGUAGUUGCCA
rnacentral:rRNA from 1 species